AAUAUUGCGAAAUAUUUAUACAUAUUAAGGAUGUAUAUUUAAAUGUUUAUUUUCUUUGUUGAAAAGUAAGUUUCCUCGUACCCCCUUAUUGUAAUGCGCAUGCGCGUACGUAUGCCUCACCCGGUCUCACUCUGCCAGAUAAUCGGUCACUUUGCCAUACCACUUGUUCGAGUGAACACUGUGACCCUCGCCUCUCUUUUUAUGUAUAUUUGCUGACGCCAGGCGCCACGAGACUUUGCUUCACGUGCCCCCUGAGGUUAAUUGGAGCAACGCCAAACUUAAACAAACCCCGUGACACCUGGGCCGUUUGACACGCUCGCUGGGACGUGGAUAUUUACAUUGAUUUUUGUUUUCUUUGUUUAUAUUUGUAAAUAUAUAUGAUAAUGGUU